CCUACGGGAGGCAGCAGUGGGGAUACUGCACAAUGGGGGAAACCCUGAUGCAGCGACGCCGCGUGGGUGAAGAAGCGCCUCGGCGCGUAAAGCCCUGUCAGCAGGGAAGAAGAUGACGGUACCUGCAGAAGAAGCCCCGGCUAACUACGUGCCAGCAGCCGCGGUAAUACGUAGGGGGCAAGCGUGAUCCGGAUUUACUGGGUGUAGAGGGGGCGCAGCCGGCGAUGCAAGCCAGGAGUGAAAGCCCGGGGCCCAACCCCGGGACUGCUCUUGGAACUGCGUGGCUAGAGUGCAGGAGGGGCAGGCGGAAUUCCUGGUGUAGCGGUGAAAUGCGUAGAUAUCAGGAGGAACACCGGUGGCGAAGGCGGCCUGCUGGACUGCAACUGACGUUGAGGCCCGAAAGCGUGGGGAGCAAACAGGAUUAGAUACCCUGGUAGUC
rnacentral:rRNA from 1 species